rnacentral:rRNA from 1 species
GACGAACGCUGGCGGCGUGCUUAACACAUGCAAGUCGAGCGGUAAGGCCCUUUCGGGGGUACACGAGCGGCGAACGGGUGAGUAACACGUGGGUGACCUGCCCUCAGCUCUGGGAUAAGCCUGGGAAACUGGGUCUAAUACUGGAUAUGACUCCACGGUGCAUGUCGUGGGGUGGAAAGCCUUGUGCGGCUGAGGAUGGGCCCGCGGCCUAUCAGCUUGUUGGUGGGAUGAUGGCCUACCAAGGCGACGACGGGUAGCCGGCCUGAGAGGGCGACCGGCCACACUGGGACUGAGACACGGCCCAGACUCCUACGGGAGGCAGCAGUGGGGAAUCUUGCGCAAUGGGCGAAAGCCUGACGCAGCGACGCCGCGUGAGGGAUGACGGCCUGG